rnacentral:sRNA from 1 species
CAACACUAAUGGUUGGUUCUUUUGAAAAGCGUAAUACAAAUUUAAUCCUCUAGCAUUACUGAUAAGAAAAAAUAGAGGAGAAACAAACUGCCAAUAUUUGGAAGGAAGAAGAGAGUAUCAUAGCAGAUCUUGCAGAUGCAGAGUCCAGCGACACAGAGGGCUGAGGGUGUAGAACAUGUUCCCUCUGAGAUCACAGAUGAGACGUUCUUGCUAUCACCACUUGCAUUUCACAUUGGACUGAAUGUUCUAUCCAGUGCAAAUCCUAGCCAGGCAAGAGAAAGUUAAACCCUUCUCAGGCACCACCCCAUCCAGGAAACCACUCCCCAAGAGGAAGAACACGUGGAACUUCCUGAAAUGCGCCUACAUGGUGAUGACCUACCUCUUCGUAUCC